rnacentral:rRNA from 1 species
UACGUAGGGGGCAAGCGUUGUCCGGAAUCAUUGGGCGUAAAGAGCGUGUAGGCGGCCCGGUAAGUCCGCUGUGAAAGUCCAGGGCUCAACCCUGGGAUGCCGGUGGAUACUGUCGGGCUCGAGUCCGGAAGAGGAGUGUGGAAUUCAUGGUGUAGCAGUGAAAUGCGUAGAGAUCAUGAGGAAGACCAGUGGCGAAGGCGGGUCUCUGGACAGUUCCUGACACUGAGACACGAAGGCCAGGGGAGCAAACGGG